GGACGUGUGGGACCGCUCCGAAGGGACACCGGCACGGAGAGCUGGUCUCGGGAGAGGCAGCAAGCUACAGAUAAGAAGUUAUGCAGGACGCUACGGGAGAAGCCUGAUGGAGAGGGGCUUGCGGAUGGGAGCAAGAGAAAACUACAUUUACAGUAAAUAAAAGCAUCACCCACAGAGGAUCUUUCAACUCGGUGACCUUUGAAGUUACAAGGACACAUGGCCUAGACAGGCCUGUGCACCAGACAAUAACUGCCCAGCUCUCAGAGGGAGAAACAGAAGCCUUGACCUGAAAAGCCACCACAAAACUUAUUGGAGAACACAGCUUUUGGUGGAAAACAAUCAGCAAGUCAGGACACAAAGGACAUUCCUGAGUGC